UACGUAGGUGGCAAGCGUUGUCCGGAAUUAUUGGGCGUAAAGCGUGCGCAGGCGGUUUUGUAAGCCAGAUGUGAAAUCCCCGGGCUCAACCUGGGAAUGGCAUUUGGGACUGCAAGGCUGGAGUGCGGCAGAGGAGACUGGAAUUCCUGGUGUAGCAGUGAAAUGCGUAGAUAUCAGGAGGAAUACCGAUGGCGAAGGGCAGGUCUCUGGGCUGACACUGACGCUCAUGCACGAAAGCGUGGGGAGCAAACAGG
rnacentral:rRNA from 1 species